AUUUGUAGCGCUUGCUAGCUCUGUGCAUGUGGCUGAUUGCAGACUGAUUAUUGCUGAGUCCUAGGCCUUGCGAGUUCUCAUAAGAAACCUAUGAAUUAGCCUCUGGGAUGUAGCUGAUGCUAUUACCGCUCUUUAGAGAUCGGAUAGCUCUAGUCUAGUGCCCUUUUCUGCGGAUUCUCAGUCUGUGGGAGUGCUUACUCCGAGAGUUGUCAUUAUUAACAAAAGACGGGAGGUAGUUUGCAUCUGCUUUUGUAGAUUUUCCCGGGUAGUGGAACCCUGGGGUUGAAGUCAGUAUCUGCAAAACUUAGACUGCUACAGAAAACAAUAGCCUGAUCUAUGUGUUCUGUCUUCAUUGAACAUGCGAGUGAGCGUGCGGACAUGUUGGUGCCUGGAGCGGUGAAUGGAUGUCCAGUGGACGCUGUGAUUGAUACAGGAUCCGCCGCUACAUUGUUGUCAGAGGAUUUUGCCGACCGCCUACCUAAGGAGCUGGAAAAGGAAACCUCUGACCAAGGCCCGAAGUUGAUUGGCCCCAACGGGCAACCACUAGAAGCCGUGGCGUCAGCAAUUGUUCAGUUGGAACUCGGAGAUGCAACCUGUUGGCACCGGUUCACCAUAUUGUACAGGGCAGGUCGAUCGCACGCUAACGCUGAUGCAUUGUCACGCCGCCCUGACGCUUCGACGACGCUGUUCGUAGGGGCCGUGAACAACGACGUUGGCAACAUCCCCACGCCCCUCAUCCGCCGUUUCAGCUGGCCGUGGUCAAGAUGGGAAACGGAACAGGAGAAGGACCGAGAUCUCGCCCAAGUUGUGUCCUGGCUAGGUAUGGACUCUCCGCCUUGCCCACAGGACAUGAUGGGUAGCAGUCCUGAGUGUUUGCUUUCUGCUUGGCAUAGAUAAGACCAGGACAACUGCGUACCAUCCACAGAGUGACGGUCUGGUUGAGAGAUUCAACCAGACGCUUGAGCGUGGCCUGGCGCACUAUGUCUGCCGGAAUCAUCGAGAUUGGGACAUCAAGUUGCCAGCCUUCUUGAUGGGAUACCGCUCGACGCCGCAGACUAGUACCGGCUACAGUCCAAGCUAUCUGCUCUUUGGU